UACGUAGGUCCCGAGCGUUGUCCGGAUUUAUUGGGCGUAAAGCGAGCGCAGGUGGUUUAUUAAGUCUGGUGUAAAAGGCAGUGGCUCAACCAUUGUAUGCAUUGGAAACUGGUAGACUUGAGUGCAGGAGAGGAGAGUGGAAUUCCAUGUGUAGCGGUGAAAUGCGUAGAUAUAUGGAGGAACACCGGUGGCGAAAGCGGCCAACUGGGCUUUAACUGACGCUGAGGCUCGAAAAUGUGGGGAGCAAACAGG
rnacentral:rRNA from 1 species